GUCGAGAAUCAUUCACAAUGGGGGAAACCCUGAUGGUGUGACGCCGCGUGGAGGAUGAAGGUCUUCGGAUUGUAAACUCCUGUCAUGUGGGAGUAAAGCCGGGUGUUAAAUGCAUGCCGGUCUGAGAGUACCACAAGAGGAAGGGACGGCUAACUCUGUGCCAGCAGCCGCGGUAAUACAGAGGUCCCAAGCGUUGUUCGGAAUCACUGGGCGUAAAGGGUGCGUAGGCGGCGCGGAAAGUCAGGGGUGAAAUCCCGGAGCUCAACUCCGGAACUGCCUUUGAUACUCCCGCGCUUGAGAACUGGAGGGGGGACCGGAAUUCACGGUGGAGCAGUGAAAUGCGUGGAUAUCGUGAGGAACACUAGUGGCGAAGGCGGGUCUCUGGACAGUAUCUGACGCUGAGGCACGAAGGCCAGGGGAGCGAACGGGAUUAGAAACCCGGGUAGUCC
rnacentral:rRNA from 1 species